GUGGGGAAUCUUGCGCAAUGGGCGAAAGCCUGACGCAGCCAUGCCGCGUGAAUGAUGAAGGUCUUAGGAUUGUAAAAUUCUUUCACCGGGGACGAUAAUGACGGUACCCGGAGAAGAAGCUCCGGCUAACUUCGUGCCAGCAGCCGCGGUAAUACGAAGGGGGCUAGCGUUGCUCGGAAUUACUGGGCGUAAAGGGCGCGUAGGCGGACAGCUUAGUCAGAGGUGAAAGCCCAGGGCUCAACCUUGGAAUUGCCUUUGAUACUGGCUGUCUUGAGUUUGGGAGAGGUGAGUGGAACUCCGAGUGUAGAGGUGAAAUUCGUAGAUAUUCGGAAGAACCCCAGUGGCGAAGGCGACUCACUGGCCCAAUACUGACGCUGAGGCGCGAAAGCGUGGGGAGCAAACAGGAUUAGAUACCCGUGUAGUCC
rnacentral:rRNA from 1 species